rnacentral:rRNA from 1 species
AAUCAACGCUGGCGGCGUGCCUCAGACAUGCAAGUCGAACGAUUAAAGCUCUCUUCGGAGAGUGUAUAGAGUGGCGCACGGGUGAGUAACACGUAAGUAAUCUACCCUCGAGUGGGGAAUAACAACCGGAAACGGUUGCUAAUACCGCAUAAUGCAGCGGCACCGCAAGGUGACAGUUGUUAAAGAUUUAUCGCUUGAGGAGGAGCUUGCGGCAGAUUAGCUAGUUGGUAGGGUAACGGCUUACCAAGGCUACGAUCUGUAACCGGUCUAAGAGGACGGUCGGUCACACUGACACUGAAUAACGGGUCAGACUCCUACGGGAGGCAGCAGUCGGGAAUUUUGGGCAAUGGGCGAAAGCCUGACCCAGCAACGCCGCGUGAAGGAUGAAGUAUUUCGGUAUGUAAACUUCGAAAGAAUAGGAAGAAUUAAUGACGGUACUAUUUAUAAGGUCCGCUAACUACGUGCCAGCAGCCGCGGUAAGCUCGUCUCUA